rnacentral:sRNA from 1 species
GCGAAAGGCUGAGGACCGGGUCCGGGCCGGGUUCCUGGUCGGGGAGCGGCUCCGGGCGGCAGCCAUGAGGCGGGACGUGCGCAUCCUGUUACUGGGCGAGGCCCAGGUGGGGAAGACGUCGCUGAUCCUGUCCCUGGUGGGCGAGGAGUUCCCCGAGGAGGUAAAGGGCACGCCCGCCGCGGGGGUGGGAGCGGGCCCAGCCGGGGGUCCCUGGUGAGCGCGCGGGUCCCUUGCAGGUCCCUCCCCGCGCGGAGGAGAUCACGAUCCCCGCGGACGUCACCCCGGAGAAGGUGCCCACCCACAUCGUGGACUACUCAGGUAGCGGCCGUAGCCUCCCGGGGGCCCGGCCCGGAGCGGUCCGGCGGGCCUGCUGGGUCUGCAGUGGGGUCUCUUUCUCCCCCUAGAAGCCGAGCAGACGGACGAGGAGCUGCGCGAGGAGAUCCACAAGGCAAACGUGGUGUGUGUGGUGUAUGACGUCUCCGAGGAGGCCACCAUUGAGAAGAUUCGAACUAAGUGGAUCCCACUGGUGAAUGGGGGGACCACGCGGGGGCCCAGUGGGCAACAAGUCAGACCUGCGGUCGGGGAGCUCCAUGGAGGCCGUGCUCCCCAUCAUGAGCCAGUUUCCGGAGAUCGAGACCUGCGUGGAGUGUUCGGCCAAGAACCUGAGAAACAUCUCAGAGCUGUUCUACUACGCCCAGAAGGCUGUCCUGCACCCCACAGCCCCUCUCUAUGACCCUGAGGCCAAGCAGUUGAGGCCCGCGUGCGCCCAGGCACUGACGCGCAUCUUCAGGCUCUCAGAUCAGGACCUGGACCAGGCGCUCAGUGACGAAGAGCUCAACGCUUUCCAGAAAUCCUGCUUUGGGCACCCCCUGGCCCCACAGGCCCUGGAGGACGUGAAGACGGUGGUGUGCAGGAACGUGGCGGGCGGCGUGUGGGAGGACCGACUGACCCUGGAUGGUUUCCUCUUCCUGAACACGCUCUUCAUCCAGCGCGGGCGGCACGAGACCACGUGGACCAUCCUGCGGCGCUUCGGCUACAGCGAUGCACUGGAGCUGACAGCCGACUAUCUCUUCCCUCCGCUCCACGUGCCCCCCGGCUGCAGCACUGAGCUCAACCACCUUGGCUACCAGUUUGUGCAAAGAGUAUUUGAGAAGCACGACCAGGUGAGAGCAUGGCGACUCCCCUGCCCCUGCCCCCGCCCCCUCCCCGGCACACACAUCACCGCAUCCCUCCUUCUGCAGGACCGAGACGGCGCCCUCUCGCCUGUGGAGCUGCAAAGCCUCUUCAGUGUGUUCCCAGCAGCCCCCUGGGGCCCCGAGCUCCCACGCACAGUCCGCACAGAGGCCGGCCGGUUGCCCCUGCACGGAUACCUCUGCCAGUGGACGUAAGUGCGGCCCACACCAUGCCCGCCCGCCGCACCACCCUUGCCACCGUAACACUGUGCCUCCCGCCCACCCCCAGCCUGGUGACCUACCUGGACGUCCGGAGCUGCCUUGGGCACCUAGGCUACCUGGGCUACCCCACCCUUUGUGAGCAGGACUCCCAGGCCCAUGCCAUCACAGGUAGGUACCCACCCUCUCUGGGCCUGGGCCCAGCAUCCUGGCAGCCGCCCUAACCCGUGUCUAUCCUCACAGUCACCCGUGAGAAGAGGCUGGACCAGGAGAAGGGACAGACGCAGCGGAGCGUCCUCCUGUGCAAGGUGGUGGGGGCCCGUGGAGUGGGCAAGUCUGCCUUCCUGCAGGCCUUCCUCGGCCGCGGCCUGGAGCACCAGGACACGAGGGAGCAGCCUCCCGGCUAUGCCAUCGACACAGUGCAGGUCAACGGGCAGGAGAAGUACUUGAUCCUCUGUGAGGUGGGCACAGAUGGUCUGCUGGCCACAUCGCUGGACGCCGCCUGUGACGUUGCCUGCUUGAUGUUUGAUGGCAGUGACCCAAAGUCCUUUGCACAUUGUGCCAGCGUCUACAAGCACCAUUACAUGGACGGGCAGACCCCCUGCCUCUUCGUCUCCUCCAAGGCCGACCUGCCCGAAGGUGUCGCGGUGUCUGGCCCAUCGCCAGCCGAGUUUUGCCGCAAGCACCGGCUACCCGCUCCCAUGCCGUUCUCCUGUGCUGGCCCAGCCGAGCCCAGCACCACCGUCUUCACCCAGCUCGCCACCAUGGCCGCCUUCCCACAUUUGGUCCACGCAGAGCUGCAUCCCUCUUCCUUCUGGCUCCGGGGGCUGCUGGGGGUUGUCGGGGCCGCUGUGGCCGCAGUCCUCAGCUUCUCACUCUACAGGGUCCUGGUGAAGAGCCAGUGAGGCCCCUGGUACCCAAGCCCCUCUCCUGACCUGGGUGUGGCUCGCUGCUGAGGCUCUGCAGGGGCAGCACAGCUGGGGUGCCGGCCAGGCUGCCAUUCCGGGAACGCCUUUGCGCCAGGACUUUUUGUUUCUGAAGGCAGUCGAUCUGCAGCGGGGCCUCAUGCUGCCAUGCACUGCCCUGGCUCCUGCCGGACCCCCAGGGUGGGCUGUGGCAGGUGGCUGAGCAGGAGCUCCCAGGUGCCGGCCACCGCUGUCAGGGAUUGCCCACCGCUGGGCAUCGUGUGUUGGGCUGGGGAGCACAGGUGUGGGAGCUGGUGACCCCAGACCCAGAAUUCUCAGGGCUCUACCCCCUUUCCUGGUCCUGGGUGGCCAGUGGGUAUGAGGAGGGCUGGAAGGCAGAGCUUUGGGCCAAAAGCAGGCGUUGGGUGGGGUCCCCCCUCAAGUUUGGAGCUGUUUCCGUGGUUGCAGUAGAGGACCGGAGGUUGGGUUCCUGAUUAAACUUCACUGUGUCUUUUCUAUCUUGGAUCCCAGUCUCUGAAGACAACUUGCCUUGAUUCAACCUAGAA